ensembl:lncRNA
GGUGGAGUAUUUUAGUGGUAGUGGUUAAUGUAGUAUAGUGGAGUAUUUUAGUGUAGUGUUAAUGUAGUAUAGUGGAGUAUUUAGUGUAGUGUAGUGUUAAUGUAGUAUAGUGGAGUAUUUUAGUGUAGUGUUAAUGUAGUAUAGUGGAGUAUUUUAGUGUAGUGUUAAUGUAGUAUAGUGGAGUAUUUUAGUGUAGUGUUAAUGUAGUAUAGUGGAGUAUUUUAGUGUAUUGUAGUGUUAAUGUAGUAUAGCGAGUAUUUUAGUGUAGUGUUAAUGUAGUAUAGUGGAGUAUUUUAGUGUAGUGUUAAUGUAGUAUAGUGGAGUAUUUAGUUGUAUUAUAGUGUAGUGUUAAUGUAGUAUAGUGGAGUAUUUUAGUGUAGUGUUAAUGUAGUAUAGUGGAGUAUUUUAGUGUAUUGUAGUGUUAAUGUAGUAUAGUGGAGUAUUUUAGUGUAGUGUUAAUGUAGUAUAGUGGAGUAUUUUAGUGUAGUGUUAAUGUAGUAUAGUGGAGUAUUUUUAGUGUAGUGUUACUGUAGUAUAGUGGCGUAUUUUAGUGUAGUGUUAAUGUAGUAUAGUGGAGUAUUUUAGUGUCGUGUUAAUGUAGUCUAGUGGAGUCUUUUAGUGUAGUGUUAAUGUAGUAUAGUGGAGUAUUUUAGUGUAGUGUUAAUGUAGUAUAGUGGAGUAUUUUAGUGUAGUGUAGUGUUAAUGUAGUAUAGUGGAGUAUUUAGUGUAGUGUAGUGUUAAUGUAGUAUAGUGGAGUAUUUUAGUGUAGUGUAGUGUUAAUGUAGUAUAGUGGAGUAUUUUAGUGUAGUGUUAAUGUAGUAUAGUG